UAAAAAACCGGCUCCCGAAUAGCUGAGCGCUGGGAACCGGUCACUGAAAAUCCACGUCGGUGUUGUAGUUGUCGCGCAUCACAGUCGGGAGUUUCCCGGCACCUGUGUCACGCUUUAUUGGAUUCGACGAGCGGAUUCUAGCAAGGAUAUAUAAAUGGUCAAUACUAUAAAAAUCAAUUUCAAUUACUAAAAGUAA
rnacentral:sRNA from 1 species